GUGCUUGCUUAGGCAGCACAUAUACUAAAAUUGGAACUAUACAGAAAAAAUUAGCAUGGCCCCUGUGCAAGGAUGACAAGAAAAAAACUAAAAUGAAAAAAAUUUUG